AGAGUUUGAUCCUGGCUCAGGACAAACGCUGGCGGCGUGCUUAAUACAUGCAAGUCGAACGGUCUUACUUCGGUAAGAUAGUGGCGGACGGGUGAGUAACACGUAGAUGACCUGCCCUAUAGAGAGGAAUAACAGCCUGAAAGGGUUGCUAAUACCUCAUAAUCUCUCUGUUGUGGGAUAGAGAGGAAACGUACUUCGGUGCGGCUAUUGGAGGGGUCUGCGGCGGAUUAGCUAGAUGGUGGGGUAACGGCCUACCAUGGCUACGAUCCGUAGCUGGUCUGAGAGGACGGCCAGCCACACUGGAACUGAGACACGGUCCAGACACCUACGGGUGGCAGCAGUCGAGAAUUUUUCGCAAUGGGGGAAACCCUGACGGAGCGACGCCGCGUGGAGGAUGAAGGUCUUCGGAUUGUAAACUCCUGUCAUUGGUGAACAAAGUACUGAGGUUAACUGCCUUGGUGCCUGCUAGUAGCCGAAGAGGAAGGGACGGCUAACUCUGUGCCAGCAGCCGCGGUAAUACAAAGGUCCCGAGCGUUGUUCGGAUUCAUUGGGCGUAAAGGGUGCGUAGGCGGUCUGCUAAGUUUGAUGUGAAAUCCCGGGGCUCAACCCUGGAAUUGCAUUGAAUACUGGCGGACUAGAGUACCGGAGAGGAAACUGGAAUUUACGGUGUAGCAGUGAAAUGCGUAGAGAUCGUAAGGAAGACCAGUGGCGAAGGCGAGUUUCUGGACGGUAACUGACGCUGAGGCACGAAGGCCAGGGGAGCAAACGGGAUUAGAUACCCCAGUAGUCC
rnacentral:rRNA from 1 species